GAAACCGUUCAGGGGUAAACCUGAGAAACCCAAAAGUUCGAAAGGGGAGAUUCAUCGUCGACAAAUGCUGGCUCCCGUUGGUGCGCGAAACCCCGAAAGGGGUGUCCGCCGCUUUUCCGCAAGGAGGGCACGGAUGUACGGCCAACGGCGAACGUUCCGGCUACGUAGACGUGCACUUCUCCCCUAGUAGGACGUCGCGACCCGUUGCGUGUCGGUCUACGGCCCGAGCGGUUAGACCGUUGCGUCGCCUUGUGCGUGCGCGACGGACCCUCGGUGACCCGACCGGCUGCGCGACGGUGUUCCAGAUGGUAUCGGGCCGCAACCAGUCUUCUCAUUCGAACGGUGCGUCAGGCCCGCCGCAAGCUCGGUCAGCUUUGUUUGCCCUGUGGUACGGAUGUUCUUCCCGUUCACGGGCCUGGCCAGCUGUUAGCAGGCGGAGCCCUCGGACUGGCCAAGCUUUGAAUUACCUGUCGGCGGCGCUAUUGCUUUGGGUACUCUCAGGACCCGUCUUGAAACACGGACCAAGGAGCCUAACAUGUGCGCGAGUCAUUGGGAUGAGUAAACCUAAAGGCGAAAUGAAAGUGAAGGUCGUCCUCUGCGUCGGCCGAGGGAGGAUGGGCGCUGCAAAGUGCUCCGCACUCCCGGGGCGUCUCGUUCUCAUUGCGAGAAGAGGCGCACCUAGAGCGUACACGUUGGUACCCGAAAGAUGGUGAACUAUGCCUGGUCAGGACGAAGUCAGGGGAAACCCUGAUGGAGGUCCGUAGCGAUUCUGACGUGCAAAUCGAUCGCUGGAACUAGGUAUAGGGGCGAAAGACUAAUCGAACCAUCUAGUAGCUGGUUCCCUCCGAAGUUUCCCUCAGGAUAGCUGGCACUCACUCCUCCGUACCUUCGGGGACGCGUGCGAGUCUCAUCUGGUAAAGCGAAUGAUUAGAGGCCUUGGGGCCGAAACGACCUCAACCUAUUCUCAAACUUUAAAUGGGUGAGAUCUCUGGCUUGCUUGGUUCAUUGAAGCCACGAGAUUUCGGAUCAGAGUGCCAAGUGGGCCAAUUUUGGUAAGCAGAACUGGCGCUGUGGGAUGAACCAAACGCAGAGUUAAGGCGCCUAAGUCGACGUUUAUGGGAUACCAUGAAAGGCGUUGGUUGCUUAAGACAGCAGGACGGUGGCCAUGGAAGUCGGAA
rnacentral:rRNA from 1 species